rnacentral:tRNA from 1 species
CCCCGCUUAGUUUAGUGGCUAGAACCCUCGGCUGUAGACCGAGUGAUCCCCGGUUCGAGCAAUAAACUGUGUUUAUGUACCAAAAAAUGCAGUUUUUCGAGUGUCCGGGAGCGGGGA